rnacentral:rRNA from 1 species
UACGGAGGGUGCAAGCGUUGUUCGGAAUUAUUGGGCGUAAAGCGCGCGCAGGCGGCUGGGUAAGUCCUGGGGUGAAGUGCCGGAGCUCAACUCCGCGCCCGCCCCGGAUACUGUCCGGCUGGAGACACGUAGAGGCAAGCGGAAUUUCGGGUGUAGCGGUGGAAUGCGUAGAGAUCCGAAAGAACACCGGAGGCGAAGGCGGCUUGCUGGGCGUGAUCUGACGCUGAGGCGCGAAAGCGUGGGGAGCGAACAGG